UGAGGAAUAUUGGUCAAUGGACGGAAGUCUGAACCAGCCAAGUAGCGUGCAGGAUGACGGCCCUAUGGGUUGUAGACUGCUUUUAUACGGGGAUAAAGUUAGGGACGUGUCCCUAUUUGCAGGUACCGUAUGAAUAAGGACCGGCUAAUUCCGUGCCAGCAGCCGCGGUAAUACGGAAGGUCCGGGCGUUAUCCGGAUUUAUUGGGUUUAAAGGGAGCGUAGGCCGUAGAUUAAGUGUGUUGUGAAAUGUAGACGCUCAACGUCUGACUUGCAGCGCAUACUGGUUUACUUGAGUUUGCACAACGUUGGCGGAAUUCGUCGUGUAGCGGUGAAAUGCUUAGAUAUGACGAAGAACUCCGAUUGCGAAGGCAGCUUGCGGGAGCAAAACUGACGCUGAAGCUCGAAAGUGCGGGUAUCGAACAGG
rnacentral:rRNA from 1 species